rnacentral:rRNA from 1 species
CCUACGGGUGGCAGCAGUGGGGAAUAUUGCAUAAUGGGGGAAACCCUGAUGCAGCGACGCCGCGUGAGUGAAGAAGUAUUUCGGUAUGUAAAGCUCUAUCAGCAGGAACGAGACAAGACGGUACCUGACUAAGAAGCCCCGGCUAACUACGUGCCAGCAGCCGCGGUAAUACGUAGGGGGCAAGCGUUAUCCGGAAUCACUGGGUGUAAAGGGAGCGUAGACGGCUGUGCAAGCCUGAAGUGAAAGGCGGGGGCCCAACCCCUGGACUGCUUUGGGAACUGUACGGCUGGAGUGCAGGAGAGGUAAGUGGAAUGCCUAGUGUAGCGGUGAAAUGCGUAGAUAUUAGGAGGAACACCAGUGGCGAAGGCGGCCUGCUGGGCUUUAACUGACGCUGAGGCUCGAAAGCGUGGGGAGCAAACAGGAUUAGAUACCCGAGUAGUC